UACGAAGGGGGCUAGCGUUGUUCGGAAUCACUGGGCGUAAAGGGCGCGUAGGCGGCGCGACAAGUCAGGCGUGAAAGCCCCGGGCUCAACCCGGGAAUUGCGCUUGAUACUGUCGUGCUUGAGGCCGGGAGAGGAUGGCGGAAUUCCCAGUGUAGAGGUGAAAUUCGUAGAUAUUGGGAAGAACACCGGUGGCGAAGGCGGCAUCCUGGACCGGCAUUGACGCUGAGGCGCGAAAGCCAGGGGAGCAAACGGG
rnacentral:rRNA from 1 species